GGCUACGCCGCUGGGGGAAGCGGAGCGGUAGCGAGGAACAGGAAGCGGCGGGGAGAAGGGAGGAACAAAGGCAGGAUGGGAAAUAAAAAGGGGAGCGUCGCGUACUCUGCAGCGAGUAUUAGACAGGUGGAAAGCUGGAGGGAAACAAAAGGGAAAGCCACGUGGAGAGGGAUAAGGGUUUAGUAGAGGAAUCGUUCCUGUCAAAGUUUGGGAGAAGCACGUGUGGGGAACAGCAGAGACAUGAUGCCGGCCUGGCACACGAGAGCGGCUGCAGUUGCUGGGGACUGUCACCAUCCUUGAGGCCUUGAUGACAGCAGACAAGUUCCCAGCCCCAAUCCCGUGGGAGCUCAGAGGUACCAGAGUGCCUCAUUCCUUCACAUUUCUCCACAGUUUCCCAUGUUUCCAAAUGUUUGUGCUGACAGACUCCCAGCUAUUUGCAUCUGCACAAAGGAGACACCAAAGCCACAGGAAAUACUGCUUCCAAUGGCUCUGACUCCAUGUCAAACUCCAUUUCUUAAAGCUCCCUAGCAGCUGGCAUUUAGCAGAGUGCUGCGGCACAGGGGCUGUCCCCAGGGGAAGCGCAGAUGGAGCAGUGCUCAGUGUGGGGCAGAUCCAUCACAGCCUGAGCUGCUGCUUGCUCUGGGAAACGGGGCCAAGCCCAGCACAGCGAGGUGGUGUCAGAGCUCACAGCUGAUAGGAUCACCUCGGGAAAUUUGUUUUCUAUUGAAUUGCCUGGUUUGAACAUAAAAAUCCUUUUAACUGAAAGUAACAGCUCCUCCGUACUAUCUUUCUGCAAAGCCCCACAGUCUUGCUCUAUGGGGGAAAAAAAAUUGUCUUCAUUUUUGUAUUUAUCCACCAAGGCCUAGAGAGCAGUGCAGCCUUCCAGGCUGCAGUGACUGCCACCUGGUUCUCUCAUCCCCACAAAGAAGAGGGGCUUCUCCCUCAUGGCCAUACCUGGGCCAUGGCUUAUACAACCACCCUCCGCCAGCCAGUGUAGCAGACACAGCUGGGAGCUGAAAUGCGGGUCACAGGGCAGGAGCCUGCUACUCUGAGGCCUAUCACGUGAUUCAGCAUACAGGCAGGAGAACAAGCUGGAGUAGCCUGCCUGUAACGAAGAUUUCCCACAGUUAGGGUCAUCAUCACCUAGUGCAGACCUGGAGCACCAUUUGGAUAUUACCAUGAUUCCUGUUAAACCUGACUGACUGCUCCCUGCUCCAUUGCUCCAGCAUCAGCAUUCCUUAAUGGCAAGAGCAUAGAUUGAGGGAAUUGAGCUGGAGCUGUAAAGUAGUCCAGAGAAGAAAGCUAACAUCUGGGGUCACUACACAAUUAUUUCAGAGACCAUGUAAUUAAGAGCAAGGGACAGGGGAGAAGACUCCUCUGUGACUGCACUGCAGAACCCAGCUACCCUGUUAGGAGGGGACAGGGUAUCUGUAAGAACUCUAUCAGAGACUCAGGAACUUAUAAUAGCCACCAAAUCUGAACAAAUCUCCAAAGUUUAUUACAAAUGUGCCAUUGCAAAUAAACUGACAUCCACCCAGAAAUCUGAAGUA